rnacentral:rRNA from 1 species
CACGUAGGGUGCGAGCGUUUGUCCGGAAUUAUUGGGCGUAAAGAGCUCGUAGGCGGUGUGUCGCGUCGGCCGUGAAAACCUGCAGCUUAACUGUGGGCUUGCGGUCGAUACGGGCAUCACUGGAGUUCGGCAGGGGAGACUGGAAUUCCUGGUGUAGCGGUGAAAUGCACAGAUAUCAGGAGGAACACCGGUGGCGAAGGCGGGUCUCUGGGCCGAUACUGACGCUGAGGAGCGAAAGCGUGGGGAGCGAACAGG